rnacentral:rRNA from 1 species
CGUUGUUCGGAAUUACUGGGCGUAAAGCGCGCGUAGGCGGAUUAGUCAGUUAGAGGUGAAAUACCCAGGGCUCAACCCUGGAACUGCCUUUAAUUACUGCUAGUCUUGAGUUCGAGAGAGGNGAGUGGAAUUCCGAGUGUAGAGGUGAAAUUCGUAGAUAUUCGGAGGAACACCAGUGGCGAAGGCGGCUCACUGGCUCGAUACUGACGCUGAGGUGCGAAAGUGUGGGGAGCAAACAGGAUUAGAUACCCUGGUAG